CCAGGCCUGCCUGCAGCCGGUCCCGGUGACACCGGAGCCCUGUGGCGCUGUCACCAUCCUCUGUCCCGAGGACGGGAGGUGAACUCUGUGCCACCAGCAGAGGGGACCACGGGUGACAUCAGUGUGGAACAGCCGUGACGCGGCGGCGUUGUCAUUGGGUGUCACCGUCACGCAGAGGGGACAAAAGGACCCCCCUGGGGGCAUUGCGUCGAAGUUGGGGACACCGUGAGCAGCUUGAGGACUUCCCAGGGGAAGUGGGGGCACCGCGUCACCGUGUCACACCCCAAAGUUGGGGACACCUCUGUGUCACCCCAAUGGUGUCCGACCCAAAGCUGGGGACACUCCACAGUGUCACACCCCAAAGUUGGGGACGCCCCGACAGUGUCACAUCUCAAAGUUGGGACAGCUCUGUGUCCCCCCGAUGGUGUCAGACCCCAAAGUUGGGGACGCCCCCACAGUGUCACAGCCCAAAGUUGGGGUCUGUCCCAGAGGUGGGAGUGCCCCCACAUCCCCACCAUGGCGUCACAUCCCAAAGUUGGGGACCCCCUCUGGGGACCCAUUCAGUGCGUCCCCCAUUGCAGACCGCACUGUUCCCAUGGGGUGGGGGCGGGGGGCACCCUUUAUUUUUGGGAUUAAAGUUUAUUUCGUGAUAAAGGGGUGUUGGGGGAUGCCCCCCCUACGUGAAUAAAGGGCAGAGGAGCGGC
rnacentral:lncRNA from 1 species